GCAGGCGUAGCUCACUUGGAAGAGCGUCGGGUUUCCACCCCGAAGGUCGCCGGUUCGACCCCGGUCGCCUGCU
rnacentral:tRNA from 1 species